UCUGCUUCUUUCUUCUUGUUAAAGUUAUUCUCUAAGUUGUUAUGUUGGUCACUUCCAGUUUCUAUGGAUCUAGGCCUCUUCCUAUUCUUCCUUUCUUGUUUUGAUCUUUUAAUAUUUAAUUCAAUUUUCAAAGCUCGUUCUAGUAAUUAUAGUUGUUAAAAAGAUGAGAGGACAAGUCGGACUAAAAUUUUAUAUCCUAGACCAUGGUCAAAUCUAUUUACUUUAUUUUUCUCGGACUCUAUAAGCUAGGGGCAAAAUCGAUCUAACUCAUUGAAUUUGUUUGCAUAUUCCAGUAUUGUCAUGUCGUCUUUUUAUCUCAAAGCUAAAAACUCAUUCUCCUUUACUAAUCUAACUGACUCAAAAAAAUAUUGAUCAUAAAAUAUCUUUUCGAACUCCUCUAAUAUUAGAUGAUUAUUAUUAUUCCCAUAUGCAGCUUUUAUUACAGUCCACCAAAAAUUGAUAUUUUAUUUUAGCAUUAAAAUGGCUAGCCUAAUCUUUAUAUCCUUAAGAUACUGUAGUGCAUCAAACAUCUUUUCUAUUUUUUGAAUCCAUGUUUCUGCAAUUAGAGGGUCAAAUCCACCCUCAAACAGUGGUGGAUUGAGUCUUCUGAACCUCUCAUAAUAUGACUCUAAAGAUGGCCC
rnacentral:lncRNA from 1 species